rnacentral:rRNA from 1 species
UACGGUGGCUAUAGCGAAGGGGUAACACCUGUUCCCAUCCCGAAUACAGAAGUUAAGCCCUUCAGCGCCGAUGGUACUGCACUGGCAACGGUGUGGGAGAGUAGGUCGCCACCGUUU